rnacentral:rRNA from 1 species
AUUGAACGCUGGCGGCAUGCUUUACACAUGCAAGUCGAACGGCAGCACGGGAGCUUGCUCCUGGUGGCGAGUGGCGAACGGGUGAGUAAUACAUCGGAACGUACCCUGAAGUGGGGGAUAACGUAGCGAAAGUUACGCUAAUACCGCAUAUUCUGUGAGCAGGAAAGAGGGGGAUCGCAAGACCUCUUGCUUUAGGAGCGGCCGAUGUCGGAUUAGCUAGUUGGUGAGGUAAAGGCUCACCAAGGCGACGAUCCGUAGCGGGUCUGAGAGGAUGAUCCGCCACACUGGGACUGAGACACGGCCCAGACUCCUACGGGAGGCAGCAGUGGGGGAAUUUUGGACAAUGGGCGCAAGCCUGAUCCAGCCAUGCCGCGUGAGUGAAGAAGGCCUUCGGGUUGGUUAAAGGUACU